rnacentral:pre_miRNA from 1 species
AAUGAAGGAUUACGGAUCAGCUAAGGGAGGCAUUAGGAUCCUUUUUCUUGCCUCCCUUAGUUGGUCUCUAAUCCUUCGUU